UACGUAGGGUGCGAGCGUUGUCCGGAAUUAUUGGGCGUAAAGGGCUCGUAGGCGGUCUGUCGCGUCGGGAGUGAAAACCCAGGUGCUUAACACCUGGCUUGCUUUCGAUACGGGCAGACUAGAGGUAUUCAGGGGAGAACGGAAUUCCUGGUGUAGCGGUGAAAUGCGCAGAUAUCAGGAGGAACACCGGUGGCGAAGGCGGUUCUCUGGGAAUAUCCUGACGCUGAGGAGCGAAAGUGUGGGGAGCGAACAGG
rnacentral:rRNA from 1 species